AUGGUGGCUGAGGAGAGGAUGUGUAAAUCAGAAAGAUAUUUAGGGAUAAAAUGGGCAGGACUUGGGUGUGCAUUGCAGAGAACUGGAGGAGAGGGAAUUGCUCAAGAGGACUCAACUACAGGCUUGAACCGCUGGGUGGAUGGCUGUGUGGCUGAAAGGGAGACAGAGGAGAGAGGAUGUGGGUGGUCGGGUGGGAGCUGGAUGCCAGUGGGCCAGGAGAGGAUGUGGGUGAACGGCUGGGGGCGGGCCACGUGGAAACAUCCAGUGACAACUUAGCACUGAAAAGAAGGAUGAGGAGAGGCAAGAGCAAGGUGGGAGAUGCAUGUUGGGGGAAGCUUUUCUUUCAGGAUGAAGGGGAUCAGUGAGCAGCCAGAGAGGCGCUGUGGAGAAGCAGGACUAAGACAAGGAUAGGAGAAGAGGAAGGAGGUCAGAGGGAGGAGAGAGAGACUGUGUGAUGUGAAGAGAAAUGCAUCUCCCCAUGUCCUCCGUCAGGUCUCGGGGAAUGUGAGCCAAAGGCUGGUGUUGGGAAGGCACAGGCAAGCCUGGGCUGGUGGCCUGGAGGAGCCCCAGGGGAGGCAGGAGGGACCGACCACGUGGCUGACAGGUGUACUGCAGGGGCUCUGCUGUGUGUGCAGUGUGCACUUCUCUCCCCCAAUGUACAGCAGCUCAGGGAGACAGGAGCACUGGCAAUGGGGUGUGACGCGGGGCUGAGGGCUCAGCAGCGCUGGCUGGCAUGGUGCUGAGAGCUUGGUUGGAAAGAACCAUGCUUGGCUCCACACCAUGCAGGUGAACCAGUGGAGCCAGGGACAGGAAGAAAGCAAACACUGCCUCUAAUGCCUCGUUCUGUCUCCCAGCUCCCAGACCCACAGCAGCUUCCCUUAGAUAUUUCCUUGUUUAACUUGUCCUCUCUCCUCUGCUGGGGGAUACUUUCCAAGACCCCCAGGUUCUGCCUGAAACUGCAGAUAGCACCAAACCCUAUACAUGCUAACGAUACCAUGUUUUUUCCUAUGCAUUCAAACCUCUGAUAAAGUUUAUUUUUAAUUAGGCACAGGAAGAGAUGGACAACAACAGUAAUAAAAUAGAACUAAUAAACCCA
rnacentral:lncRNA from 1 species